rnacentral:rRNA from 1 species
AAUAUUGCACAAUGGAGGGAACGCUGAUGCAGCAACGCCGCGUGAGUGAAGAAGGUUNNNGGAUCNUAAAACUCUGUCAUUGGNGAANAAUAAAUGACGGUACCCAAUGAGGAAGCCCCGGCUAACUACGUGCCAGCAGCCGCGGUAAUACGUAGGGGGCGAGCGUUGUCCGGAAUUAUUGGGCGUAAAGGGUGCGUAGGCGGCCUUUUAAGUCAGAUGUGAAAGCCCACGGCUUAACCGUGGGACUGCAUUUGAAACUGGAGGGCUUGAGUGUCGGAGAGGGCAGUGGAAUUCCCAGUGUAGCGGUGGAAUGCGUAGAUAUUGGGAGGAACACCAGUGGCGAAGGCGACUACUUGGACUGAUACUGACACUGAGGUGCGAAAGCGUGGGGAGCAAACA